rnacentral:rRNA from 1 species
GUGCCAGCCGCCGCGGUAAUACCAGCACCCCGAGUGGUCGGGACGAUUAUUGGGCCUAAAGCAUCCGUAGCCGGUUCUGCAAGUCUUCCGUUAAAUCCAUCUGCUUAACAGAUGGGCUGCAGAGGAUACUAUAGAGCUAGGAGGCGGGAGAGGCAAGCGGUACUUAGUGGGUAGGGGUAAAAUCCGUUGAUCCACUGAAGACCACCAGUGGCGAAGGCGGCUUGCCAGAACGCACUCGACGGUGAGGGAUGAAAGCUGGGGGAGCAAACCGGAUUAGAAACCCUAGUAGUCC